GAUGAACGCUGGCGGCGUGCCUAAUACAUGCAAGUCGAGCGAACAGAUAAGGAGCUUGCUCCUUUGACGUUAGCGGCGGACGGGUGAGUUACACGUGGAUAACCUACCUAUAAGACUGGGAUAACUUCGGGAAACCGGAGCUAAUACCGGAUAACAUAUUGAACCGCAUGGUUCAAUAGUGAAAGGCGGCUUUGCUGUCACUUAUAGAUGGAUCCGCGCCGUAUUAGCUAGUUGGUAAGGUAACGGCUUACCAAGGCAACGAUACGUAGCCGACCUGAGAGGGUGAUCGGCCACACUGGAACUGAGACACGGUCCAGACUCCUACGGGAGGCAGCAGUAGGGAAUCUUCCGCAAUGGGCGAAAGCCUGACGGAGCAACGCCGCGUGAGUGAUGAAGGUCUUCGGAUCGUAAAACUCUGUUAUCGGGGAAGAACAAAUGUGUAAGUAACUGUGCACAUCUUGACGGUACCUGAUCAGAAAGCCACGGCUAACUACGUG
rnacentral:rRNA from 1 species